rnacentral:tRNA from 16 species
GCCGGUGUAGCUCAGGGGUAGAGCGUUUCCUUGGUAAGGAAGAGGUCAUGAGUUCAAAUCUCAUCAUUGGCUCAA